UCCCUCCUGUUGUUUUCUUCCAGGGCUAAUGCUACACUUGUGAUUGUGAGUGUGCAGACCAGAAGCUGAGUGUGAAAACAAAUAAUGUUUGAGAAAGGAGGAGUGAUUCAGAACAGAAAACUUGCAUGCUAUGGUUAGCUGGUUCCCAUCAUUCGAGAAUCUGUUUUCUCAUCGUGUGAAACUUGUUCAGCAUCAGGAUAAAGGAUAACGACUCUAUGGAUAUACAGAAUUCUUCACCAUGGUAAAACUCGCCAACCCGCUGUAUACAGAGUGGAUUUUGGAGGCAAUCAAAAAGGUAAAGAAGCAAAAACAGCGUCCUUCAGAGGAGAGGAUAUGCAAUGCAGUGUCAUCUUCGCACGGUUUGGACCGCAAAACUGUUCUGGAACAGUUAGAGUUGAGUGUUAAAGAUGGAACUAUUUUAAAAGUCUCUAACAAGGGUCUCAACUCCUACAAGGAUCCUGAUAAUCCUGGGAGAAUAGCACUUCCGAAGCCUCGGAACCAUGGCAAGUUGGAUGGUAAACCAAAUGUGGACUGGAAUAAACUUAUUAAACGGGCAAUUGAGGGCUUGGCUGAGUCUAGUGGCUCAUCCUUGAAGAACAUCGAGCGCUUCCUGAAAGGUCAGAAAGAUGUGUCUGCAUUGUUUGGAGGUAGCGCUGCCUCCGUUUUUCACCAGCAAUUACGAUUAGCUGUCAAACGUGCUGUUGGCCAUGGUAGACUUCUUAAAGAUGGACCUCUGUACCAACUCAACACUAAAGCAACCACUAAUGCUGAUGUGAAGGAGAGUUUUGAGUCUCUUUCCUGUCUCCCACCAGUGUGUCUCCUUCCCCACGAAAAGGAUAAGGUAAGGCCCAGUUUACAUGGGCAUUUUCUUGUGAUUGAUGAGAUGUGUCAAUACAGAGUUCAAUUUGAGGUCAAUGAUUUGUUUAACCUGCUUCUU